GACAGAGGGUGCAAACGUUGUUCGGAAUUACUGGGCGUAAAGCGUGCGCAGGCGGUUGUGCAAGACAGAUGUGAAAUCCCCGGGCUUAACCUGGGAACUGCAUUUGUGACUGCACGGCUAGAGUGUGUCAGAGGGGGGUAGAAUUCCACGUGUAGCAGUGAAAUGCGUAGAGAUGUGGAGGAAUACCGAUGGCGAAGGCAGCCCCCUGGGAUAACACUGACGCUCAUGCACGAAAGCGUGGGGAGCAAACAGG
rnacentral:rRNA from 1 species